UGCAGGGUAGCUCAGUUGGUAGAGCAUGGGACCCUUAAUCACAGGGUUGUGAGUUCAACUCCCAUGCUUCACAA